AGAGUUUGAUCCUGGCUCAGGACGAACGCUGGCGGCGCGCCUAACACAUGCAAGUCGAACGAGAGAUGAGGAGCUUGCUCUUCAGAUCGAGUGGCGAACGGGUGAGUAACGCGUGAGGAACCUGCCUCAAAGAGGGGGACAACAGUUGGAAACGACUGCUAAUACCGCAUAAGCCCACGGCUCGGCAUCGAGCAGAGGGAAAAGGAGCAAUCCGCUUUGAGAUGGCCUCGCGUCCGAUUAGCUAGUUGGUGAGGUAACGGCCCACCAAGGCGACGAUCGGUAGCCGGACUGAGAGGUUGAACGGCCACAUUGGGACUGAGACACGGCCCAGACUCCUACGGGAGGCAGCAGUGGGGAAUAUUGCACAAUGGGGGAAACCCUGAUGCAGCGACGCCGCGUGGAGGAAGAAGGUCUUCGGAUUGUAAACUCCUGUUGUUGAGGAAGAUAAUGACGGUACUCAACAAGGAAGUGACGGCUAACUACGUGCCAGCAGCCGCGGUAAAACGUAGGUCACAAGCGUUGUCCGGAAUUACUGGGUGUAAAGGGAGCGCAGGCGGGAGAACAAGUUGGAAGUGAAAUCCAUGGGCUCAACCCAUGAACUGCUUUCAAAACUGUUUUUCUUGAGUAGUGCAGAGGUAGGCGGAAUUCCCGGUGUAGCGGUGGAAUGCGUAGAUAUCGGGAGGAACACCAGUGGCGAAGGCGGCCUACUGGGCACCAACUGACGCUGAGGCUCGAAAGUGUGGGUAGCAAACAGGAUUAGAUACCCUGGUAGUCCACACCGUAAACGAUGAUUACUAGGUGUUGGAGGAUUGACCCCUUCAGUGCCGCAGUUAACACAAUAAGUAAUCCACCUGGGGAGUACGACCGCAAGGUUGAAACUCAAAGGAAUUGACGGGGGCCCGCACAAGCAGUGGAGUAUGUGGUUUAAUUCGACGCAACGCGAAGAACCUUACCAAGUCUUGACAU
rnacentral:rRNA from 1 species